rnacentral:rRNA from 1 species
GGGUCAGUAGGUUGGUCGUGCCACCGGUACGUACUGGUCUCACUGAUUCCUCCUUCCUGAAGAGCCGUAAUGCCAUUAAUUUGGUGUUGCGGGGAAACAGGACUGUUACUUUGGAAAAAUUAGAGUGUUUAAAGCAAGCUAACGCUUGAAUACGUUAGCAUGGAAUAAUGAAAUAGGACGAUCGAUCCUAUUUUGUUGGUUUCUAGGAUUGACGUA